GAUGAACGCUGGCGGCGUGCUUAACACAUGCAAGUCGAACGAAGCAACCAUGAAGCCUAGCGAUUGGUUGACUGAGUGGCGGACGGGUGAGUAACGCGUGGGUAACCUGCCUCAUACAGGGGGACAACAGUUAGAAAUGACUGCUAAUACCGCAUAACCCGCUAGGGCCGCAUGGCCCGGACGGAAAAGGAGCAAUCCGGUAUGAGAUGGACCCGCGUCUGAUUAGCUAGUUGGUGGGGUAACGGCCUACCAAGGCAACGAUCAGUAGCCGAACUGAGAGGUUGACCGGCCACAUUGGGACUGAGACACGGCCCAAACUCCUACGGGAGGCAGCAGUGGGGAAUAUUGCACAAUGGGGGAAACCCUGAUGCAGCGACGCCGCGUGAGUGAAGAAGUAUUUCGGUAUGUAAAGCUCUAUCAGCAGGGAAGAAAAUGACGGUACCUGACUA
rnacentral:rRNA from 1 species